rnacentral:misc_RNA from 1 species
AAGUCGUAACAAGGUUUCCGUAGGUGAACCUGCGGAAGGAUCAUUAACACGUAUCCAAACGUUAAAACCCCCCCCGUGAACCUUCAUCCUGCUCUUGUAACCCGCGUAGGUCGCAAUCUCUGAUAAAGCAUAGCCCGGAAAGUUGUAGUGAUUCAGAGACCUCCCCAAGCAGUCAGUGUUGGAAAGUGUCAUUGAUUGUGCAAGGAUAGCGCUUCUACGAUUCCUGUAGACCGUACACUCGGGCAGGAGCUUUGCCAAAGGGUCCCCAUGCCCCCUAAUAACCCCACAGUUUAAUGUGAAGCUCAAUGUAAUACAUUGGGUAAAAAAACCGAACAACUGUUAACAAUGGAUAUCUUGGUUCUC